UCCAGGCUCGUUUAACGGUAGGAUGCGCGGUUGUUACCCGCGUCGUGGGGGUUCAAAUCCCUCGCCUGGAG
rnacentral:tRNA from 1 species